UCCACGGUCACCCUUGUCGGGCAGGCUCAAAUCAAGGCCUAAUCCGGCCAUAUACUCUUGCCUCAGUUUCCUCAUCUUUAGGACGAUCUGUAGACACUGCUGGGCCAGUCUGAGGACUCUUGGGACAGGGACAAUAAGACUGGCAUUCCUGCUAGUUGAGGUUCAAGGUGGGAGUGAAUUUGUGUGUGUGUGUGUGUCUGUCUGUCUGCAAUUUACAUGGAGGCCAGAGGAAAACCUUGAACAUUGUUCCUAGGAAUACGGCCCCGUUUUAUAUUUAGUUAGACCUGUUUGAAGGGAGUGUGCCCCAGAGUGCCUGUGCUCAAAGAACAGUUUGUGGCAGUUCAUUUUUUCCUUCUAUAUGUGGAUUUCAGGGAUUAGGUUUAGGUUUUCAGCCUUGGCCCCAAAUACCUUUGACCCAUGGGCUAUUUUGUCAGCCCCACUUCUCCCUCCCCCCACCUUUUUUUUUUUUUUUUUUGAAUAAGGCCUCUCUAUACAGUCCUGGCUGUCCUGAAACUCAUUCUCAUUCUUGCAGACCAGGUUGUCCCUGAACUCAGAGAGAUCUGCCUGCCUCUGCCUCCAGAGUGCUUGGAUUAGUGGUGUGCGCUACAGCUGCCUUGCUUUUUUUUUUAAGGUUCGCCAGCCCCUCUUUUAAAAACAUACUUUAUAAAAAUUUCAGCUUCUUUUUUGAGUCAGGGUCUGUUGGUGAGAUCUGGAGCUCACCCCUGAGGCCAGGCUGGCCAUUGAACCCUAGGACCCUCCCGUUUCUGCCUCUCUAGCACUGAGAUUGCAAAAGGCCACCAUGUGCAGGUUUUUCCAUGGGCUCUGGAGAGUAAACGUGUCCGUAUCCUCGCAUGCUUCUGAGGCAAAUGCUUUACAAAAUUCUCAGUUCCUGUGUUUUGGGUUUUUUUUAGACGUGAUGGCUUCAGAUUCCUAUGUUGCUGACCCUGGCCUUGAACUCUCGAUCUUCCUGCCUUUCCUCCCUUCAUGCUGGGAUUAUAGUGCCACCCCAGUGCCUGCCACCCCAGUGCUAGAUGUCCAGCACUGUUUGGGAAGCUUAGCAAGUAUCAAGACUUACACAUAUUUCCCGCAGUCCCCCGCAAACACUUCACCUCACCUACUCGUCCUCAUUUGAAGUCUCCCUUGUCCCUCGGACUUGUGGAUAAGAAUCCAGUUUUUCUAGGAAGUUGGAUCCUAAAGUGCAUAUCUUGCCCUUUCUCUCUAGGCGAUUAUGGAUCCCUCACUCAUUCCAUCCUCUAUGUCCGUCUCCUCCUGCUUGACUGAAGCUCCCUCCCUCAGGACCUGCUUUAGCUCACUGAGCUAACUGAUCCAUUAGGCAGUGUGUCAGAUAAAGUCCCUGCUCCAUGUGGACUUGUUCAGUGGCUCCUCAUCUCUAAACAGAAAUCAAAAUUCUCACAAUGAUUUGUAAGCCACUGGGUGAAUUCCCUUCUCUAAUGUCACCUCUAUGACUUCUUCCCCUAAUCUGCUCCACUCCAGCCACAUGUGUCUUCUGUUUGUGGGACAUCUAUGGGUGCUGUUUGUGGGACAUCUAUGGGUGCUCUUGUCUCAGACUUUGCAGUGUCUUUUCCCUUUGACUGAACACUUUCCUUCCAGGUAGCCAACUGGCUCAUUUCUUCCCCUUCAUGCUUUUACUCAAAUAUAAUAAAGAGUGAAUUUUUUUUUCUUAA